GGAUGGUGAGACUCACAAUUUUGGCAAGUCCUCUUCCCUAUCCUCCGAGCUUCCAGCUGCUGAUGCUGAUCUUACUGCCUAUGAACUUAGCUGUAACUAUGGUGCAUGAGAAAAGAGACUACAGCCAAAAGGUCAUCUUACAAGGUCAAUCCAUAACUGUUCAUGAGCGGCUGGUGGAGUCUUCAGGUGGUCCUGGUUGCUUACAUACUGAAUAAAGCAAAUACCGAGUAUUAAUACA